CCCACCUCGGUCCAGCGCAAGUCGAGAGAGAGAGAGGUAGAGAGCGGGAGGAGAACCCUAGCACGUAUGAGGCUUCCGCGGACCUCGCGCGCCAGGGGCGGCGGAUGUCGAUGGCGGCGGACAGCGUGGAGGGACGCGUUGCUGGGAUCAGCGACGACACCGUCGAGGGAGGAGAGCGCUACAUCUGGUCGGACGUGUUCGACCGGCUCGUCGCCGUCGGCCACGUGGAGGAGGCGUCCCGCUCCGACUUCCAGGCAUACUUCGCCAAGCUUCCCGACAGUUAUCAUCAGUAUGUGGAUGCCGGGAAAGCAGAGUAUGUGUUAAUCCAUCAGAAUGUUUUGGCAGAAGCAAAGACCAAUAGAUCUCGCCCAGCAUUCCAUGCCCGCCACCUCAGGUUUGAAGAGAUAAAUAAUAUGGACACGGCAACUAACUCUGAUGCACCCAAACAAGGGGAUGAUGCUGGAGAUGCUCUUGCUAUCAGGACAUGGACAUCGCGUAGACAAAUUCAUGAGAUAGUCUUAUCUUCUAUUAAAAAGCGUGGGCUCCUUGAUAAGCUGUCUACAUUGCUUUCGCGGAUUGGACUGAGCAUCAGAGAAGCACAUGUUUUCUCAACAAGUGAUGACUAUUCACUUAAUGCUUUUGUAGUUGAUGGUUGGCCUGUUGAGGAUACGAUGAGAUUGAAUAAGGCGCUAGAGGCAUCAAUUUCAAGAAACAUGGUUUCACCGAUUGGCUCUGAGUCCUUGAGUGUGCAACCAUUCAUAGCAGAGGAUUGUUUAUCGGAUAUGGACAAAACACUUCUGGACAUAGCAGAAAAUCUUGCUUCUGGAUCACGUGGAGAUACGUUACGUGGCACUUAUGGUGGUGAGGAGGUUUUUGUUAAAUUUGUAAGCUCUGAGGAUCCGAGUCAGAUUGUUUCGAAAGAAUUUAAGCAAGAAAUUCUCAUGCUAAGGGAAGUUGAUCAUGCCAAUAUUAUUCGAUUGAUUGGUUCAUGCACAAAGGAACCUCAGUUUUGCAUGAUGACAGAAUACAUGUCUGGAGGAAGCCUAUUUGACUUCUUGAAGAAUGAGCAUAAUGUCCUGGAUCUCCCAAUGAUUCUGAAGUUUGCACUUGACAUAUGCCGAGGGAUGGCUUACUUGCAUCAGAAGGGCAUUAUUCAUAGGGAUUUAAAGUCUGCAAACCUUUUAAUAGAUAAAUAUCAGGUUGUGAAAGUGGCACAUUUCGGACUUUCUCGUUACCAGGAUCAAGAGGGUGUUAUGACUGCUGAAACUGGAACGUACAGAUGGAUGGCUCCUGAGGUUAUGAAUCAUCAGCAUUAUGGCCACGCAGCAGAUGUUUACAGUUUUGCUAUUGUACUUUGGGAGCUAAUGACACGCAAGGAUAUCAUUGCAAACUCAAAGAUGCUUACCAUCGCUGGUCACCACAGCUCAUGCCAUCAGGCACACUUCUAAGCCAACAUGAAGUGCGGCGUUCUAAGCGUCCCAAAGAAGCUAAGCUAUGACUAGCGCCGUUCUGAUUGCGAGAAGCUUUCAGAACUGUGAUAUCCCUAAUUCCAGUCAAUUGACGACGAAUUUCCAACACACUGUGAACAUACCGAGAUCUGUUCUCUCCAUGGUCCUUUAUGAGGGCAAUGCCUCAGCACAAUCGGAUUCUAGUGCAAUUGGGAGGUCAGACCAUUGCUGAGCAAGCGACAGUCCUUCCUCACAGGCUGCGAGCUCAGCCUCUAACGGAUCAUUGCACCAAGGCAGGAAACGGCAAGCUGCAAAGAUAACUUGGCCCAAAUGAUCCCGCAGAAUCAUGCCUGCACCAGCACUACCAUCUUCCUGCCUAAAGGAACCAUCCACAUUUAACUUUACCUUGCCAGGAUCUGGGGGACUUUAAAUAUUUCUUUGGUUCAUUCAGAUUCCAUAUGAUACCUUAACAACCCUCCAAGCAGCUGUAGAAGUGUUGAAGGGAAUGCGUCCACCGCUUCCAGAAAAUGCACAUCCCAGGCUAUUAACCCUGAUGCAGAGAUGUUGGGAUGCCUCCCCAUCUAAACGCCCAUCAUUCUCAGAUGCAAUUACUGAACUAGAAGAUAUUAAGGCGGAGGUUCAGGGAGCAACAUCAGGGCAGACGAGCCAGGGCGAAGAGAGGCCGGCCAAGACACAGAAGCUGGAUCCCUCCGAUCCUACUGCUUGACGGUUCCUCUAGUUUCCUGAUCGGUUGAGUUAGGAUCACUGACAUUAGAGAAAGUAGUAUCUCAUCUUCGGCCUCGAUCUGUCGGCGCUUCUCGGAGCCGGAUUUCUCGGUCUUGUUCUCAUUUUUCCUCACGGUCUUGGUCUCAUUUUUGCUUACAUAGAACGAAUCGGAAUGAUCUGCAUGUUGGGUUUGCAAGUUGCGGUUUGAUGUGUGGAUCCGGAUGAGAAUUUCACUGUCCAUCGAUCAAAAUGGUGGUGGAUGCGAGUGUUGAUUACAAUGUACAGUGACAUCGAGACAGUUACAUAACCAUUGCAUGUUCUUGGU